rfam:Coniophora puteana RWD-64-598 SS2 unplaced genomic scaffold CONPTscaffold_4, whole genome shotgun sequence.
GUCCUUGUCGAUUAGUGGUUAAAUCACCUCGUUGUGGUGACCGCAAUUCCGAGGAGCCGCAGGUUCAAUUCCUGCCAGGGACA